UACGUAGGGUCCGAGCGUUGUCCGGAGUUACUGGGCGUAAAGCGCGCGCAGGCGGCGGUGCUGGCCCGGCGUGAAAGCCCCCGGCUCAACCGGGGAGAGUCGUCGGGGACCGCACCGCUUGAGGGCGGUAGGGGCUGGUGGAAUGCCUGGUGUAGUGGUGAAAUGCGUAGAGAUCAGGCAGAACACCUGGGCGAAGGCGGCCAGCUGGGCCGUCCCUGACGCUGAGGCGCGAAGGCGUGGGGAGGCGAACGGGAUUCGAGAUA
rnacentral:rRNA from 1 species